rnacentral:rRNA from 1 species
CUAACCAGGAUUCCCCUAGUAACGGCGAGUGAAGAGGGAAAAGCCCAGCACCGAAGCCUGCGGCAGUUUUGCUGUUAGGCAAUGUGGUGUUUGGGUCGGUUCGUGGGAUUGCCACUCCACUCGAAGUCCAGCAUUGAGUAUGGUCACUGGAUUUGGCCCAGAGAGGGUGAAAGGCCCGUACGGGUGGAGGUUCAGAAAUGUAAGGCAAUUCACCAGGCCGGCCUUAGAGUCGGGUUGUUUGAGAAUGCAGCCCAAAGUGGGUGGUAAACUCCAUCCAAGGCUAAAUACAAGCACGAGUCCGAUAGCGAACAAGUACCGUGAGGGAAAGUUGAAAAGUACUCUGAAGAGAGAGUAAACAGUACGUGAAACCGCAUGCAGGUAAACGGGUGGCGUCAAGCUGCAAGCUCAGAGGAUUCAGCCGGUUAGGAUGUUGUGUAUGCGCCUGGCGCAUCUAUCAGUCGGAGUAUGAUUGGAUAGUCCACUGGCAAACGGUGGGCCCGGCCGCAAGGUUGGGAUAUGUGUACCGGGUGGGUGCCGGAGCAUGCUAUCCGUCUAUGGACUGUCUAGCCGGUGCACUUUCUCUGUGCUGACACCACGACCGGUGGUAUUGCCAGUCUGCUGUGUCCAAGUCGUAUUCGGUCGGUCCUUGUGGCCAACUGGGUGCGAUCACAGGCAAACUCAGUAUACGGCGUAGAGGGGUUUCGGCUUCUUUGCGUGUUAUCGGCUACUGGUUGUCAACGGGCUGCCUAGUGUUUGUUGUAACCGACACUCGGGUGGUCUGGUGGGGCAUGGUGGUAAGAAUAACUGUGCAAGGCACCGGAGUUAUCGGCCUCAAAUGCACUCUGCGCCCAUGUUACAAGUGGUGUAUGGCGGCGCCGUUGCUGCCUGCUCGGUGUUGGGUCUGAUUGUCGUGUCGCCUGCGCAAAGUAGGCCCGGCAGUGGCUCGGCUCGAGGUGGGUAGUGGAUGGCGUUGUCUGUGUGGAGUGUGGUGGGCCUAAUAGUCAGUGGUGUAGUGGUAGACGAGCUACCCGACCCGUCUUGAAACACGGACCAAGGAGUUUAACAUGUAUGCGAGUCAUUGGGCUUUACGAAACCCAAAGGCGCAGUGAAAGUGAAGCUUCGACUUGUCUCGGAGUGAGGUGAGAUCCUGCUGUUACUCGCAUCAGCCUAAUGCCAGCAUCAGGCAAAGAGCAGUGGGCGCAUCACCGGCCCGUCCCAUGAUGUGGUCAUUGGAUGUCUGCGUUCGUUGCUUCG